rnacentral:rRNA from 1 species
AUGUGAAUUGCAGAAUUCAGUGAAUCAUCGAAUCUUUGAACGCACCUUGCGCCCUUUGGCUAUUCCGAAGGGCAUGCCUGUUUGAGUAUCAUG